GGUCUUAGGAGAGAGUGCUUUGGGGCACCUCCACCAUGGCCUGGACUCUGCUUGUCUUCACCCUCCUCAAUCAGGGCACAGGUUUGUGGGCCCAGUCUGCUCUGACUCAGCCUCCCUCAGUCUCUGGAACACCUGGAGAGACAGUCACCAUCUCUUGUGCUGGAACCAGCAGUGACAUUGGGAAUUAUAAUGCUGUCUCUUGGUACCAAAAGCAUCCAGGAACAACUCAUAAACUCAUCAUCUAUAGUGUUAGUAGUCGGCCCUCAGGGAUCCCUGCUCGCUUCUCUGGCUCCAAGACUGGCAACACAGCCUAUCUGACUAUUUCUGGACUCCAGCUGGAGGAUGAGGGUGUUUAUUACUGCAGUUCAUAUGCAGGCAGUAACAAUUACCACAGUGCGCCAAGUUCAAGGGAACAUAGAUCUGUCGUGUACCUGCUGGAGGUGCAAGGAGGAGGGUCCAGGCUUCCACCUUUAUCAUAG